UCCGUAGGUGGAUUAGUAAGUCAGAGGUGAAAUACCUGCAGCUCAACUGUAGAACUGCCUUUGAUACUGCUAGUCUUGAGUCAUUAUGAAGUGGUUAGAAUGUGUAGUGUAGCGGUGAAAUAGCAUAGAUAUUACACAGAAUACCGAUUGCGAAGGCAGAUCACUAAUAAUGUACUGACACUGAUGGACGAAAGCGUGGGGAGCGAACAGGAUUAGAUACCCUGGUAG
rnacentral:rRNA from 1 species